AUCCCAUGAUGAGAACACUUACGAAGUAGCUCCUUGAAUCACUCCCAAGCCUCAUACAAAGAGUCGUCAUCCAAUUGUUGGAAAGUUAGGAUCUCAUUCCUUAACUU
rnacentral:snoRNA from 1 species